UUAUCGUUUAUUUGAUAUUGCCUAUCCUACAUGGAUAACAGUGGUAAUUCUAGAGCUAAUACAUGCUGAAAAUCCCAACUUCGGAAGGGACGUAUUUAUUAGAAUCAGAACCAAUGCCCUUCGGGGUUCCUUGGUGAAUCAUGAUAACUCCACAGAUCGCAUGGCCUUGCGCCGGCGAUGGCUCAUUCAAAUUUCUUCCCUAUCAACUUUCGACGGUACGGUCUUGGCCUACCGUGGUUGCAACGGGUGACGGAGGGUUAGGGCUCGACCCCGGAGAAGGAGCCUGAGAAACGGCUACUACAUCCAAGGAAGGCAGCAGGCGCGCAAAUUAUCCAAUCCCGACUCGGGGAGAUAGUGACAAUAAAUACCGAUACAGGGCUCUUUUGGGCCCUGUAAUUGGAAUGAGUACAAUUCAAACCUCUUAACGAGGAACAAUUGGAGGGCAAGUCUGGUGCCAGCAGCCGCGGUAAUUCCAGCUCCAAUAGCGUAUAUUAAAGUUGUUGUGGUUAAAAAGCUCGUAGUCGAACCUCGAGCCUGGCCGGCCGGUCCGCCUCACCGCGUGCACUGGUCUGGCCGGGCUCUUCCCUCUGCGGAACCGCAUGCCCUUCACUGGGCGUGUCGGGGAGGCAGGACUUUUACUUUGAAAAAAUUAGAGUGCUCAAGGCAGGCCAAUGCUCGGAUACAUUAGCAUGGAAUAAUAGAAUAGGACGUUGGUUCUAUUUUGUUGGUUUCUAGGACCGCCGUAAUGAUCA
rnacentral:rRNA from 1 species